AAAUUGAAGAGUUUGAUCAUGGCUCAGAUUGAACGCUGGCGGCAGGCCUAACACAUGCAAGUCGAACGGUAACAGGAAGCAGCUUGCUGCUUUGCUGACGAGUGGCGGACGGGUGAGUAAUGUCUGGGAAACUGCCCGAUGGAG
rnacentral:rRNA from 1 species